rnacentral:rRNA from 1 species
GUCCAGACUCCUACGGGAGGCAGCAGUGGGGAAUAUUGCACAAUGGGGGAAACCCUGAUGCAGCGACGCCGCGUGAGUGAAGAAGUAUUUCGGUAUGUAAAGCUCUAUCAGCAGGGAAGAAGAAGGACGGUACCUGAGUAAGAAGCCCCGGCUAACUACGUGCCAGCAGCCGCGGUAAUACGUAGGGGGCAAGCGUUAUCCGGAUUUACUGGGUGUAAAGGGAGCGUAGACGGCAGUGCAAGUCCGGAGUGAAAGCCCGGGGCUCAACCCUGGGACUGCUCUGGAAACUGUAAAGCUGGAGUGCGGGAGGGGCAGGCGGAAUUCCUGGUGUAGCGGUGAAAUGCGUAGAUAUCAGGAGGAACACCGGCGGCGAAGGCGGCCUGCUGGACCGUAACUGACGUUGAGGCUCGAAAGCGUGGGGAGCAAACAGGAUUAGAUACCCGUGUAC